rnacentral:rRNA from 1 species
AGAGUUUGAUCCAUGGCUCAGAAUACAACGCUGGCGGCGUGCCUCAGACAUGCAAGUCGAACGAUUAAGACUUCCUUCGGGAAGUGCAUAAAGUGGCGCACGGGUGAGUAACACGUAAGUAAUCUACCCUCGAGUGGGGAAUAACGUUCGGAAACGAACGCUAAUACCGCAUAACGCAGCGGCACCGCAAGGUGACAGUUGUUAAAGGAGUAAUUCGCUUGAGGAGGAGCUUGCGGCAGAUUAGCUAGUUGGUAAGGUAACGGCUUACCAAGGCUACGAUCUGUAUCCGGUCUAAGAGGACGGUCGGACACACUGACACUGAAUAACGGGUCAGACUCCUACGGGAGGCAGCAGUCGGGAAUUUUGGGCAAUGGGCGAAAGCCUGACCCAGCAACGCCGCGUGAAGGAUGAAGUAUUUCGGUAUGUAAACUUCGAAAGAAUGGGAAGAAUAAAUGACGGUACCAUUUAUAAGCUCCGGCUAACUACGUGCCAGCAGCCGCGGUAAUACGUAGGGAGCAAGCGUUGUUCGGAUUUACUGGGCGUAAAGGGCGCGUAGGCGGCGCGGUAAGUCACUUGUGAAAUCUCUGAGCUUAACUCAGAACGGCCAAGUGAUACUGCAGUGCUAGAGUGCAGAAGGGGCAAUCGGAAUUCUUGGUGUAGCGGUGAAAUGCGUAGAUAUC